AUGCCAGCUCCAGAGGAGACGCCGUUUCAGUCCCUGCCGGCUCCUGUGAGGAGCCCGAGGGCAGCGCCGCCGGCUCCUGUGAGGAGCCCGAGGGCAGCGCCGCCGGCUCCUGUGAGGAGCCCGAGGGCAGCGCCGCCGGCUCCUGUGAGGAGCCCGAGGGCAGCGCCGCCGGCUCCUGUGAGGAGCCCGAGGGCAGCGCCGCCGGCUCCUGUGAGGAGCCCGAGGGCAGCGCCGCCGGCUCUAGUAUGGACGCCGUUCCUGUCCCUGUUCCGGUUCCUGUCGGCCAUGUCGAGGCCGUUCCAGUCCCUGUCGGCCAUGUCGAGGCCGUUCCAGUCCCUGUCGGCCAUGUCGAGGCCGUUCCAGUCCCUGUCCCAGUCCCUGUCGGCCAUGUCGAGGCCGUUCCAGUCCCUGUCCCAGUCCCUGUCGGCCAUGUCGAGGCCGUUCCAGUCCCUGUCCCAGUCCCUGUCGGCCAUGUCGCGGCCGUUCCAGUUCCUGUCCCUGUUCCUGUCGGCCAUGUCGCGGCCGUUCCAGUUCCUGUCCCUGUUCCUGUCGGCCAUGUCGCGGCCGUUCCAGUUCCUGUCCCUGUUCCUGUCGGCCAUAUCGCGGCCGUUCCAGUCAGUCUCGGAGUGGCAGUCCCGGCGGACCUCCAGGAGGGGGUCGCGCCAGCCGCAGUCCCGGCGGACCUCCAGGAGGGGGUCGCGCCAGCCGCAGUCCCGGCGGACCUCCAGGAGGGGGUCGCGCCCGUCGCAGUCCCGGCGGACCUCCAGGAGGGGGUCGCGCCCGUCGCAGUCCCGGCGGACCUCCAGGAGGGGGUCGCGCCCGUCGCAGUCCCGGCGGACCUCCAGGAGGGGGUCGUUCCCGUUGCAGCUCCCGCAUCGGUUCCUGGCGGCCCGGCUCCGACCGCACCUGCAUCGGUUCCUGGCGGCCCGGCUCCGGCCGCACCUGCAUCGGUUCCUGGCGGCUCGGCUCCACGUCUGUCUUCGCCUCUGGUUCCUGCCUCGUCCCCACGUCUGUCUUCGUCUCUGGUUCCUGCCUCGUCUCUGUCUCUGCUGCCGGACUGGUGGCCUCGCCCUCGGCGCAUCCUGCUGCUUGGAUGGCGCUGCCUCCUGCGGCGCCGUCCACCUCGACUCCUCAACCGCCUGGAUCAGCGUCCGCCAGGAGGACAUCGCCGUUCGGGGGGAUCCCCGUGGACGCUGGCCCAGCCCAAGGGCACUGGGUGUGCCCCUCUGCCUCAGCGGCGGCUGGGCAGGAUCUCGCCGCGUCUCCACCCGCCUUAAGAGGGAGCAGCGAGACGUCGUUGUUGUUGUUGUUAAUGCACCCUGGACUUACCUCAUGGACAACCAAUGCAGUUUUCUUUGA
rnacentral:lncRNA from 1 species